rnacentral:lncRNA from 1 species
AUUCCACAUGGAAUGAGCAAGGAAGUAGCAUAGGUCCUAUGCAGCCAACGCACCCUGAUGCAGCUCUCCACUUUGGGAUGAAGGAUUCUAUUGGGUGGUACACCGGGGUCAAAGGUUGUGUGCAGUUAGUUGUUAAAGUAAAGCUAUGCCCGUUGCAAAAGAUUAAGAGGAUCUCGCCUUCUCUUUUGUAUGAAAGCAAAAGCCAUUUUUCAUGGAAGAGGGAAUUCAUUAUUUUCACCCCCACUCUCCCAACUGAUGACAGGACACCAAUCCAAGACCUUCAGGUUUGACUUCGGCCUUCACCCAGGUGUCUGUUAUUCUGUGGUGAAAGGAAAUUCCUGCGUCUCCAGCUAACGCUAAUCAGGGAUAAAAAAUAAAUCUCGAGGCGAUGGGCUGUCUGUUCUCCAGCAGCGCCUGAUGAAAAAUCUUCUUUACAAAUUCCUGGGUUUAUUAGUCGACAGGUCAUUUGCUAUAUAACUCAACAUGUCAUGGGCUGAUCCUCGCUGAUAAUCAGCCGAGUAUUUC